rnacentral:rRNA from 1 species
CAGUAGCCACGGGAAUACGAAGGGGGCUAGCGUUGUUCGGAAUUACUGGGCGUAAAGCGCACGUAGGCGGAUAUUUAAGUCAGGGGUGAAAUCCCGCAGCUCAACUGCGGAACUGCCUUUGAUACUGGGCAUCUUGAGUAUGGAAGAGGUUAGUGGAAUUGCGAGUGUAGAGGUGAAAUUCGUAGAUAUUCGCAGGAACACCAGUGGCGAAGGCGGCUAACUGGUCCAUAACUGACGCUGAGGUGCGAAAGCGUGGGGAGCAAACAGGAUUAGAUACCCGCGUAGUCCCUGUCUCUUAUAA